GUUUACCGUUAUUUCCAAUUAAAAUUCUAUAAAAUAAGAAAUAAACUUAAACCUAAAUAUAACUAUAAACUACUAUAAUACACAUUUCAUACUUAUUAUCUAAAAAAAUAUAUACAAAAACCUUAAAAACUAAUAUAUACAAAAUAAAUCUACGAACAAACAGAAUUGACGACUGCAUUUGCUAUUAGGUAAAACUAGAUGUGAAUACAAAGGACUACGUCACCCGGCUCGCGAUAAGCGAUGUGCACCGGCCAGCUAAUGAGACACAUACGCGUCCGAGACAUUGCUACCACGGCUUUGACAGCGAGAGGUCAAAUCGACUAAAUUCAAAGAUACAAUUUUACAGUCAUGAUGUGACAAAUUUUUAAUAUGGUGUAAAAUUUAUUCUAAUAUUAAAUGUGUUAAGUUCCAGUAUUUCCCCAAAUAGGGGACCAAGUCUGGAGUUGGAGUCGGAACCUACCAACCUGAAUUCGCAUGCUCCGCUUCGUUCCGGAAGGUUCCCGUGCUGGAUCCGGAACCCUUUUUUUUGAAGACGGCCACCUCCAAGUUCAACGUUCUGCGACGUAGUGCAGGGAAGUGACCCCUAUCAAGGACUCGUUUCACCACUGUUAAUUGCCAGCUCAGAAAAGAUCCACGACCUUGUCUUUCCUUUAGUUUUUAUUUUUUUUUAAUUAUAUUUCGUAAAAUUUA